AUGGCUGAGACGACGAGGGUAUCUCGCGCUCUCCUGCUCGUCGGCGUCGUCCUCACGGCUCAGCUGUGCGCUUGCACGGCGUACGGCGGCGAUGGGUUCAGCGUGGAGUUCAUCCACCGCGACUCCGUCGGGUCGCCGUUCCACGACCCCUCGCUCACCGCGUACGGCCGCGUGGCCAAGGCGCUCGCGCGCUCCUACGCCCGCGCCGACGCACCGUCGGCCCACGGCGUCGUGUCCGAGAUCACCUCCACGCCGUUCGAGUACCUGAUGGCCUUGAACGUGGGCACGCCGCCCACCCGUCUGCUCGCCAUCGCCGACACCGGAAGCGACCUCGUCUGGCUCAAUUGCAGCAAGAAGGGGCCCCACGGUCCUGGCCCGGCGUUCGCCGGUGACGCGCCCUCGCCCCCACCCCCGCCGGGCGUCGUGUUCGACCCUUCCAAGUCCAAGACGUACAGCCCCGUGGGCUGCGACUCCGGCGCGUGCCGCGAGCUCCAUGAAACCGUCUGCGUCGACUCCAAGUGCGCCUACUUCUACGGCUAUGGCGGGGGCUCCACUACGAGCGGCCUCCUCUCCACCGAGACCUUCACCUUCGCCGACGACGCCCCAGGCACCCGCGGCGAGCGGACGACGCGCGUGCCCAACGUCAACUUCGGCUGCGGCACGACCUUUGUCGGCAAGUUCAUCGGGGACGGCCUCGUCGGCCUCGGCAACACCAACCUCUCCCUCGUCACGCAGCUCGGCGCGCACGCCUCGCUCGGCCGGAGGUUCUCCUACUGCCUCGUGCCCUACUCCGUCAAUGUCUCCUCCGUGCUCAACUUGGGCGCCCGCGCCACCGUGACGGAGCCGGGCGCGGCGACGACGCCGCUGAUCCCGUCCAGAGUGAAGUCCUACUACACCAUCGGCCUCCUGUCCGUCAAGGUGGGCAACGCAACCUACGCGGCGCCGCAGCAGUCCCCCGCCAUCGUCGACUCCGGCACAACGCUGACGUUCCUCAGCAAGGCGCUGCUAGACCCACUGGUGAAGGAGCUGGCCGGUCGGAUCAAGCUCCCGAAGGCCCCGCCGCCGGCGGACCUUCAGCUCCCGCUGUGCUACAACAUCACCGGGCUAAAGGAGGGGCAGAUCGCGGCGAAGAUCCCUGACGUGAAGCUGGGGCUGGGCGGCGGUGCGGCAGUGACGCUCAAGGCGUUGAACACGUUCGCGGUGGUGCAGAAGGACACCUUGUGCUUGGCGAUUGCGCCGUCGGCUCGGUCGUCGUUGAUCGGGAACGUGGCGCAGCAGAACAUGCACGUCGGGUACGACCUCGACAAGGGCACCGUCACCUUCGCGGCAGCCGACUGCGCGAGAUCCUACUCUGCCACCGUCCCCGGCCCAUGCCCACGCCCACGCACCCGCCCCAGCCACCUCCGGCUCUCUGUGUAG
rnacentral:rRNA from 1 species